rnacentral:rRNA from 1 species
CCUACGGUGGGCAGCAGUGAGGAAUAUUGGACAAUGGACGCAAGUUUGAACCAGCCAUGCCGCGUGCAGGAAGACGGCUCUCUGAGUUGUAAACUGCUUUUGUAGGAGGGUAAACGCAGAUACGCGUAUCUGUCUGAAAGUAUCGUACGAAUAAGGAUCGGCUAACUCCGUGCCAGCAGCCGCGGUAAUACGGAGGAUUCAAGCGUUAUCCGGAUUUAUUGGGUUUAAAGGGUGCGUAGGCGGUCGGAUAAGUUAGAGGUGAAAUCCCGAGGCUCAACUUCGGAAUUGCUGCUGAUACUGGUCGGCUAGAGAGUAGUUGCGGUAGGCGGAAUGUAUGGUGUAGCGGUGAAAUGCUUAGAGAUCAUACAGAACACCGAUUGCGAAGGCAGCUUACCAAGCUACUUCUGACGUUGAGGCACGAAAGCGUGGGGAGCAAACAGGAUUAGAUACCCCUGUAGUC